UACGUAGGGUGCAAGCGUUAAUCGGAGUUACUGGGCGUAAAGCGUGCGUAGGUGGUUUUUUAAGUCCGUUGUGAAAGCCCCGAGCUCAACUUGGGAAUUGCAGUGGAUACUGGCGAGCUGGAGUGCGGUAGAGGAAGGUGGAAUUCCCGGUGUAGCGGUGAAAUGCGUAGAGAUCGGGAGGAACACCAGUGGCGAAGGCGGCCUUCUGGACCAGCACUGACACUCAAGCACGAAAGCGUGGGGAGCAAACAGG
rnacentral:rRNA from 1 species